GAUGAACGCUGGCGGCGUGCUUAACACAUGCAAGUCGAACGGUGAAGGCGGAGCUUGCUCUGCUGGAUCAGUGGCGAACGGGUGAGUAACACGUGAGCAAUCUGCCCCUGACUCUGGGAUAAGCGCUGGAAACGGCGUCUAAUACUGGAUACGAGCUGCGAAGGCAUCUUCAGCAGCUGGAAAGAAUUUCGGUCAGGGAUGAGCUCGCGGCCUAUCAGCUUGUUGGUGAGGUAAUGGCUCACCAAGGCGUCGACGGGUAGCCGGCCUGAGAGGGUGACCGGCCACAAUGGGACUGAGAGACGGCCCAGACUCCUACGGGAGGCAGCAGUGGGGAAUAUUGCACAAUGGGCGAAAGCCUGAUGCAGCAACGCCGCGUGAGGGACGACGGCCUUCGGGUUGUAAACCUCUUUUAGCAGGGAAGAAGCGAAAGUGACGGUACCUGCAGAAAAAGCGCCGGCUAACUACGUG
rnacentral:rRNA from 1 species